CCUGGACCGCUGGUCCCCUGGAGCGUCCCGGAUGACAGCAGAGGUGUUUUUUUGUCUUCCUGUCUUAAGAGUGGAGGGCCAGAGAGUCCACUGUCUCCCUCUGGAUUAUCUCAGCAGAGAUGAGAAGUUCAGGGACCGCCCCCCUCCUUCCUACCAGCGAGAGCGUGAUUGGGUUUCCUAAAGGCCAGAGCGUGAUUGGGUUUCCUACCUGCGAGUGAUCGAGUUUCCUAACAGCAAGUGAUCGGGUUUCCUGCCAGCGAGUGAUUGGGUUUCCCUUUGCGUCCACAGGAAUGCUGUUUUGUGAGCCGACUUCCGGGACAAAAAAAUGCGUAUUUAUUUCUAAGAACUCUUUAUGGUGCACAAAUGCCUUGCUGUCUGGUUCAAAACUGGCACCAGACAACCCCCACCUCUACCAAACCUUUCCCGAUGAAGCAGGAAGGGAAAACGCCUUUUGUGAGAAGAGGAUAAGCCCUUGCAGGCUCUAUGGAAAUCUCCAUACCCACGUAGCACCAGCUCCCUUGAGCUUCACGGUAGUCCCACGAGUAGGCAGAGGACGUUCAUCUGUGUUUAUCUAGACUGGAACUGUGGGAUAUAGAUGGUUUCAGGCCCCGCUGCUGUAUCUUCCCAACCAGGCCUCCUGAAUUCAAACGGAGCUUCUUCAAGGCCGGUCUGUGCCUGGGGCCAGUCCCAUGUUGUGUUCAGAUGGGCGCUGGGACUGGGAUUAGGAUGUUCUUUAUCACUGCAUCCUCUCUACUUUGAAACACACUUCACCCUGUUUAUCCCAGGGGAGCUCUCCAACAACUCUGUGAAGUGGGUCCAUUUCAUGAGUGGAAAAGUGAGGCAACAGUGUUUUGCAGGGUCACAAAGAAAGUCCCUGAAGCAUUAUAGAGUGUGAAGUAAACACACAGUAAUAGUACAAAUGACACACCGAACCACAAGCAGAAUCCAGUCACACUCUCUCUCUCCCUGAUCUCACUAAACAAUGCUUUUAGGGGCUUACCAGCCAGUUCUUGUUGCCGAGACCACCACACUACUCUGUCCUUUCAUAAAUCAGAGCCUAGCCUCUGAUAUCAGGAAUAUUUUUGCCCACGUAGAUGAAGUUGACCCCGAGUGACAGUCAUGACAGAAGAAAACCAUGAGACCAGAUCAAGUUUAUGGAUAAAUAUAUUAGCAAAUAAAUACAUUUCUCAUCAUA